rnacentral:lncRNA from 1 species
UAUGACAAUUAUAGCAAACAAAUUUUGGGGUAAAUAAUUAAUAACUAGUGUCUAGUGUAGUAAUUCGUGUAAUGCAACAGAUAGAUAAUUAGAAAAAAAAUAAAAAACGGUGACAAAGGAAGAGUAAAUAGUGAUGAAAGAAACGACAAUAAGGGGUGUGAUUCAUUUUGCCGAUGAAGAAAGAUAACAACCGAAGAAAGUAAAAGAGGAGCAGUUCGGCCCAAUUCAGAUAUGUGAUCUGUUUUGAUUUAAGCAAACAAAAAGAAAAACUCAAUUUGGUUUAAGUAAAGAAAGAGAAAAACAUGUCAAGAACGUGAGCUGGUUUGAAAUAACCUACACUUAGCAAUUAUUGAUUCGAUUCAAUUCAAGCAAAAAAUAGAAAAAAAAUAUAGAGAACUUGAGCCGACUCAUAAUGGAGCCCACACUCAAUAGUGAAAGAAACAUUGCCGAAUCGCAAAUUUAGAAAGAAUAAUAUAAAGAAAUAG